rnacentral:rRNA from 1 species
AGGACGAACGCUGGCGGCGUGCUUAACACAUGCAAGUCGAGCGGAAAGGCCCUUCGGGGUACUCGAGCGGCGAACGGGUGAGUAACACGUGAGCAACCUGCCCUUAGCUUCGGGAUAGCUCCGGGAAACCGGAAUUAAUACCGGAUAUGACUAUGGCCGACAUCAGCCAUGGUGGAAAGUUUUUCGGCUAGGGAUGGACUCGCGGCCUAUCAGCUAGUUGGUGAGGUAACGGCUCACCAAGGCGACGACGGGUAGCCGGCCUGAGAGGGCGACCGGCCACACUGGGACUGAGACACGGCCCAGACUCCUACGGGAGGCAGCAGUGGGGAAUAUUGCGCAAUGGGCGAAAGCCUGACGCAGCGACGCCGCGUGGGGAUGAAUGCCUUCGGGUUGUAAACCCCUUUCAGCAGGGACGAAGCGAAAGUGACGGUACCUGCAGAAGAAGCGCCGGCUAACUACGUGCCAGCAGCCGC